GCGUCGGUGGUUCAGUGGUAGAAUACUCGCCUGUCACGCGGGUGGCCCGGGUUCUAUUCCCGGCCGACGCA
rnacentral:tRNA from 1 species